UCUCCGUAGGUGAACCUGCGGAGGGAUCAUUAACACUUGAUCUAUAACCAAAAUUUAUAAACCCAUUCUGUGAAUUGUUGUUGUAUAAAUCUGAUCUGAUCUGAUCUGAUCUGAUCUGAUCUGAUCUGAUCUGAUCUGAUCUGAUCUUGAUUUGAUUUAUUCAACUAGCGAGUUUUAAAAUACUCGCUCAAAUCCGCCCCCCCCCCCUCUCCACUCCCGUCACCUACACUUACACCAUCUGCCCCCUUCUGCUUUCAAACAUAUUUUUUUUUUAUUUUUUCUAUCUUGUUCAGACUGUGCUGUGUUUAUCUGUUUUGUGCAAAUCUAAUGCCAUACUGGUUUGUCUUCAUAUACGGAAGUAAAAGUCAUAACCAGGUCAACACACCUCAACCCCCGGAAGGAUCAUUAGUACUCGUAGAGAGGGCAAUAUCUCUCGUGUCGUGUUAUAAUAUAUGUUUCUACAGAUAUUUAAUUUAUAAAAUGAAGCAACGAAUUGAAAAUACCAAAAAGAAAAACAACUCUUAGCAAUGGAUAUCUUGGUUCUC
rnacentral:misc_RNA from 1 species